AGGAACAAGGAACAAUCAAGUCAAGCAGAAACAACGGGUUCUUUAACACAUGACGAGAUUCGUACUGUAAGCAACAUUGAAGAUGAUGACAGUCUAGAAACUGAUGAAGACGUUGAUGUACCAGAAUCCAGUAAUCUAUCAGAAGAACGGGAACCUGAAAUAACCCCAAAUGAACAGGAGAAUGCAGAUCUUGAGUCAUUUACCACGGGAAAGUGCUAGUAAUUUUUGUUAUUAUGUGCUAAUGUAGUAUAAUGUGUAAUGCUAUAUAAAGUAAUAUAUCUAAUAAACUUUUUUUUAAAAUUUAAAUUUUACCUUUUUGCUGUUUCUGUUAAAAUAAAUGUGACCAUUUAAAGCUAUAAACGUCUGUAUACAGGCACAAAUGCAGGAAUAUGUUAAUCUAAUAGUUGCUCAUGAAUUGUAAUAAUUUAUCUGUUCAAUAAUAUCAUGUUUAUUUUAGAGCUUUUACAAAACACUAAAUAGAAACAAUAUAAUUGCAGCACAUGUAUAUUUGUAAUACUAUAAAUGUAGAUUUAAUUAUAGCCUUACCAAACGUUUAAUUGUUAAAAUACAUAAAUAUGUUAAUGAAAAAAUAGGAAUCAAUCAUGAUAGCUUUGAAAAUGAGUGUGAUGGUGCUAUGAUAUGAGACGAGUAUGAUGGCAUAGUGUAAUUUUCCCAUUGCUUGGGGAGAGCCACAAACUGUAUAGGAUGUAAAUGUGCAUAUUUUUCAAUUACAGGAACAGGACAUUGAGAAUCCUGGCAGUGAACCUUUUCAUUCUCUUGAUGAAUCUACACAAGAAAAGUACCUGCAAGAGGAUGACAAAGUGUAUUCGUCUCAACAACAGAAUGGCCUGCUGCUCAUGGCAUUGAAAAUGAAGCACAAGCUUACCAAGGAAGCAGUCUCUGACAUGCUGGACAUUAUUAAUCUAUUGGCUGGUAAAGACACUGUACCACAAUCUUGGUACCACUUAGAAAAACCGUUUGAAGGUUUAAAAUAUUUUGUAGAAAUACAUCAUGUUUGCAAUUUCUGUGAAUCUUACUUAGGUAAAGAAACGUACUUACUGUGAGAAAGAAUGGAUAGAGCAAAGGAGUCUGAAAGAAGGAAACUUUUUCUUUCAUUUGCCUUUACAUGCACAGAUCAAAGCAUUUUUAGAGGACCCUGAAUUGUCACAAAAGGUAGUAAGAAAUAGACAUGGCUUCCAGUCACAGACAUUCUGUGACAUAACAUUGUUUAUGCCAGCUGGUACACAGAUAGUGACCAGGCAUCCUGCAUUCCUUUUGCUAUGAAAAUGUUCUUUCAGAUCUUACACUGUAUAGAUAGGAACUCCCGUUCUCUCACCACGGCUAACUUGGUUCGAGGAACUACCGUUCCUUUCGAUUUAUGAAAAACGCCACAGGUACAAUUGUAAUAAUGUUGUAUAUAAAAGGCAGUUGUUAAAAUUCUUGUUAAAUUUUAGCCUCUGCUUAUACAUGUUUCAAACUACCAUGUGUUUUUUCUGUGCAAUGUAUUUGACCUACAAAUGUACAAUAAACAGUAAGAAAGUCUAAUGUUUUUCAUGUUGUUUUUUUAAAGCUAUUAUUUGCUUUUUUAUUUUAAUUUUUAAGUGAUAUGCAGUUAAAAUUCUAGCUCUGGCCCACAUGCAGUAUAGUAUGUAGUUUUUAACUGGCUACUAAGGUUUUUUAAUUAUUACUUUGUAAUGUAUAAUGAAAAUCCCAUAUUGCUUGGAAGAUGCCAUCACUACAUAAGUUAUUUUGAAGAUGUGAUUUACAUCAGACUUUAAUCGCAAAAGAACUUGACCAAACUCUUUGUUUCAGGGUGAGGUACAGUAUUCCACUGAGAAUUUUUAGAAUUGAUGUAUUACACAGUACAACAUGCAUGUUGUUUCUCAUACCCAGCAUAACCAGUCAGCACAAAA